rnacentral:rRNA from 1 species
ACUCAAAUGAAUUGACGGGGGCCCGCACAAGCGGUGGAGCAUGUGGUUCAAUUCGACGCAACGCGAAGAACCUUACCUGGGUUGGAACCCCCCGGAAGUCUCCAGAGAUGGAGAUGUGCCCGCAAGGGAACCGGGUGUCCAGGUGCUGCAUGGCUGUCGUCAGCUCGUGUCGUGAGAUGUUGGGUUAAGUCCCGCAACGAGCGCAACCCUUGUCGUUAGUUGCCAGCGGUUCGGCCGGGCACUCUAACGAGACUGCCGGUGUUAAACCGGAGGAAGGUGGGGAUGACGUCAAGUCCUCAUGGCCCUUAUGCCCAGGGCUACACACGUGCUACAAUGGCCGGUACAAAGGGUCGCAAUCCCGCAAGGGCUAGCUAAUCCCAAAAAACCGGCCUCAGUUCAGAUUGAAGUCUGCAACUCGACUUCAUGAAGUCGGAAUCGCUAGUAAUCCCUGAUCAGCAGGCAGGGGUGAAUACGUUCCCGGGCCUUGUACACACCGCCCGU